ACUCCUACGGGAGGCAGCAGUGGGGAAUAUUGCACAAUGGGGGAAACCCUGAUGCAGCCAUGCCGCGUGUGUGAAGAAGGCCUUCGGGUUGUAAAGCACUUUCAGUAGGGAGGAAGGUAGUGUAGUUAAUACCUCACNAUUUUGACGUUACCUACNGAGAAGCACGCUACUCCGUGCCAGCAGCCGCGGUAAUACGGAGGGUGCGAGCGUUAAUCGGAAUUACUGGGCGUAAAGCGCAUGCAGGCGGCCUGUUAAGUCAGAUGUGAAAGCCCGGGGCUUAACCUCGG
rnacentral:rRNA from 1 species